GGGCCUGUGGCGCAGUUGGCAGCGCGCUUCGUUCGCAAUUUCGCAAUGAAGAGGUCAGGGGUUCGAAUCCCCUCAGGUCCACCA
rnacentral:tRNA from 1 species